AGGGGUCUUACAAGCAGCAGGAGAAGAGCAGAAGGAAGACAAUGACUCCCCCUGGGAUUCUGAGACUGAUUCUGAAGGUCCAGCAGAAAGUGUGCUGCUUCCUGCUGCAGUGGGCAAAAGUUUGGAUGCGCGCUCUGUUGCAGUGGAGCACGGCAAAGGGGUCUUGCCAGCAGCAGAAGAAGAGCAGAAGGAUAACAAUGACUUUUUGUGGGAAGAUGAUGACAUUUCCUGGCUUUUGGAG